UUUUAAUCAUGUUUUUUUCAGAACACCAUGUAGAAGAUUAGACAAGCCGCAGACUAACAUCCGUCUGCCUUUGGGCAAAAUGCGUAAAUUAACGCAAACCAACUGCGUUUAAAUUGCGCAAAACAUCAGCGCUAAAAAUACGCAAACCAUCAGUGCUAAAAAUACGCAAACCAUCAGCGCUCAAAAUGCACAAACCAUCAGCAUUGAAAAUGCGCAAACAACAAGCGCUCAAAAUGCGCAAACCAUCAGCGCUCAAAAUGCGCAAGCCAUCAGCAUUGAAAAUGCGCAAACAACAAGCGCUAACAUUUUGCACAAACAAACUGAACAUUUCAGCAGAAAACCAUCACACAGCUAUUUUCCAGCACAAUUAAUUUUCAUUUUCAGGAAACAGGAAGACCUAUCUUGUUCCUCUACCCAACAAUUGCAUUUAAGAAUGAAAUGUGAAUACAUGAAAAGAUUAUAAAGAGAGAAAAUGGUUUUGAAUGAUGUAUGUUGUAUGACUGAUUAAUGAAUAGUGUACAAUGCUUUUAUGCAUUCUCCGCUCUCGAACAUUCCAAUGUUAUGAUUUGUUCUUUGAUAUUUUUUUAAUAAUUUUUCUGCAAUUUUUUUUCUUGUAAAAAGUAUUAAUUAUUUUUGCUUAUUUCUUAUUUUUAUAAACAUCAAACACUUCUAUAUUUACUUAUAUAAAUAAUAUACAUGUAUAUAUUUAUAUUUAUGUGUAUAUAUAUUGUAAUAUUUUGUAAUUUUAUUAUUUCAGUAUUUUUAAAACACUUGUUUAAAAUGACUGUCUCCGACUCACCAACAUUCCAUUUGAAAAUUAGUUCUGUGAUAUUUGUUCCAUUUUUUUUAAUUUUACGUUUUUUGCCUUUUUUUCGAAUACAUUUUUUUGGUAUCAAUUGAAACACAUUUUUUAGACUUAGUUUUAAGUCCAAGAUUAUUUCAGUUUGCAUUUCAUCAAUUUUUCUACGCAAUCUAAAAUUCUAAUUUAAAAUUUUGUUAUUAUUUACAAACUUACAGUUGCUCCUUUUUGUUUGUUAGAAUUGUAAAAUAUGUUUUUCGUAAAAUGUUUUCCUAGUUUGUAAGGGAGGCCUCAGGGUACUUUUUAAGAAACUUAUACCAACAAAGGUUGUUUUAUUUUCUCACAAACUUUUCGUAAAUUUUUUAUUGUUAAAUAUUAAAAUAAUGUUUUCUUAAAUUGUACCAGAGUGCCACAAAAAAGUCCAACCAACUCCGUCCAUUUGAACUGAUCGCAUAAAAUAAUUUAUCGACAGUUCUUUAGAUUUAAGGGAAUUAUAAAAUUGUAAUCAGAAAAAAAAUUUAACAAAUAAAUCUUCUUUUCAAUCUA